rnacentral:rRNA from 1 species
CCUGGCUCAGGACGAACGCUGGCGGCGCGCCUAACACAUGCAAGUCGAACGAGCGAGAGAGAGCUUGCUUUCUCAAGCGAGUGGCGAACGGGUGAGUAACGCGUGAGGAACCUGCCUCAAAGAGGGGGACAACAGUUGGAAACGACUGCUAAUACCGCAUAAGCCCACGACCCGGCAUCGGGUAGAGGGAAAAGGAGCAAUCCGCUUUGAGAUGGCCUCGCGUCCGAUUAGCUAGUUGGUGAGGUAAUGGCCCACCAAGGCGACGAUCGGUAGCCGGACUGAGAGGUUGAACGGCCACAUUGGGACUGAGACACGGCCCAGACUCCUACGGGAGGCAGCAGUGGGGAAUAUUGCACAAUGGGGGAAACCCUGAUGCAGCGACGCCGCGUGGAGGAAGAAGGUCUUCGGAUUGUAAACUCCUGUUGUUGAGGAAGAUAAUGACGGUACUCAACAAGGAAGUGACGGCUAACUACGUGCCAGCAGCCGCGGUAAAACGUAGGUCACAAGCGUUGUCCGGAAUUACUGGGUGUAAAGGGAGCGCAGGCGGGAAGACAAGUUGGAAGUGAAAUCCAUGGGCUCAACCCAUGAACUGCUUUCAAAACUGUUUUUCUUGAGUAGUGCAGAGGUAGGCGGAAUUCCCGGUGUAGCGGUGGAAUGCGUAGAUAUCGGGAGGAACACCAGUGGCGAAGGCGGCCUACUGGGCACCAACUGACGCUGAGGCUCGAAAGUGUGGGUAGCAAACAGGAUUAGAUACCCUGGUAGUCCCCACUGUAACGAUGAUUACUAGGUGGUGGAGGAUUGACCCUUCAGUGCCCCAGUUACACAAUAAGUAUUCCCCUGGGGAGUACGACCGCAAGGUGGAAACUCAAAGGAAUUGACGGGGGCCCGCACAAGCAGUGGAGUAUGUGGUUAAUUCGACGCACCGCGAAGAACCUUACCAAGUCUUGACAUCCUGCGACGAUGCUGGAAACAGUAUUUUCCUUCGGGACGCAGAGACAGGUGGUGCAUGGUUGUCGUCAGCUCGUGUCGUGAGAUGUUGGGUUAAGUCUCGCAACGAGCGCAACCCUUAUGGUCAGUUACUACGCAAGAGGACUCUGGCCAGACUGCCGUUGACAAAACGGAGGAAGGUGGGGAUGACGUCAAAUCAUCAUGCCCUUUAUGACUUGGGCUACACACGUACUACAAUGGCGUUAAACAAAGAGAAGCAAGACCGCGAGGUGGAGCAAAACUCAGAAACAACGUCCCAGUUCGGACUGCAGGCUGCAACUCGCCUGCACGAAGUCGGAAUUGCUAGUAAUCGCAGAUCAGCAUGCUGCGGUGAAUACGUUCCCGGGCCUUGUACACGCCGCC